GUGGGGAAUAUUGGACAAUGGGCGAAAGCCUGAUCCAGCCAUGCCGCGUGUGUGAAGAAGGUCUUCGGAUUGUAAAGCACUUUAAGUUGGGAGGAAGGGCAGUAAGUUAAUACCUUGCUGUUUUGACGUUACCAACAGAAUAAGCACCGGCUAACUUCGUGCCAGCAGCAGCGGUAAUACGAAGGGUGCAAGCGUUAAUCGGAAUUACUGGGCGUAAAGCGCGCGUAGGUGGUUUUGUAAGUUGGAGGUGGAAUCCCCGGGCUCAACCUGGGAACUGUCUACAAAACUGCAUGACUAGAGUACGGUAGAGGGUAGUGGAAUUUCCUGUGUAGCGGUGAAAUGCGUAGAUAUAGGAAGGAACACCAGUGGCGAAGGCGACUACCUGGACUGAUACUGACACUGAGGUGCGAAAGCGUGGGGAGCAAACAGGAUUAGAAACCCGUGUAGUCC
rnacentral:rRNA from 1 species